UAGGGAAUCUUCCGCAAUGGACGCAAGUCUGACGGAGCAACGCCACGUGAGUGAAGAAGGAUUUCGGUUCGUAAAACUCUGUUGUUAGAGAAGAACAGCGCAUAGAGUAACUGUUAUGCGUGUGACGGUAUCUAACCAGAAAGCCACGGCUAACUACGUGCCAGCAGCCGCGGUAAUACGUAGGUGGCAAGCGUUGUCCGGAUUUAUUGGGCGUAAAGCGAGCGCAGGCGGUCAAUUAAGUCUGAUGUGAAAGCCCCCGGCUCAACCGGGGAGGGUCAUUGGAAACUGGUUGACUUGAGUGCAGAAGAGGAGAGUGGAAUUCCAUGUGUAGCGGUGAAAUGCGUAGAUAUAUGGAGGAACACCAGUGGCGAAGGCGACUCUCUGGUCUGUAACUGACGCUGAGGUUCGAAAGCGUGGGUAGCAAACAGG
rnacentral:rRNA from 1 species